rnacentral:rRNA from 1 species
AACGAACGCUGGCGGCAUGCCUAACACAUGCAAGUCGAACGAGACCUUCGGGUCUAGUGGCGCACGGGUGCGUAACGCGUGGGAACCUGCCCUUAGGUUCGGAAUAACUCCCCGAAAGGGGUGCUAAUACCGGAUAAUGUCUUCGGACCAAAGAUUUAUCGCCUUUGGAUGGGCCCGCGUUGGAUUAGCUAGUUGGUAGGGUAAAAGCCUACCAAGGCGACGAUCCAUAGCUGGUCUGAGAGGAUGAUCAGCCACACUGGGACUGAGACACGGCCCAGACUGGGCGGGGAGGCGGGAGGGGUGAGUGUCACACGACGGGCGAACGCCGGAGCCAGCGAUGGCGCGGGUGUGAGGAUGUGUUGAGUGUUGUAAACUUCUUGCACCGGGAAUGAAAACGACAGUAGCGGGAGAAUACGCUCCGGCUACCGCCGACGCAGCCACGGCGGGAUUAGAUAGACGAGAACACCUCUAAC